rnacentral:rRNA from 1 species
GUUUUAUUUAAAAUAUAUAACAAUAAUAUAUAAAAAUUUAGUUGGGGCGACUAAGGAAAAUUCAUCCUAAAUAAUAAAGAUUAACAAAUCAAUUUAAAGAUCCUAAAAUUAGAUCAUAGAACUAAAC